GCCACAAACCAUAUUCAGGGUUAGGACCUAUAGGGACUUCAGGAAUUCGUAUAGGUAGAAGUAUACCUUUCUUAAGAUGUUUCAGUUUGAAAUGCCUAAAGUUAGUACCACUGGCUAAAAAGAAUCACAGAUGUGACACUAACACAGCUAGAAUCUGUUUUGAAACUUGUAAGAUCAACUUUCUCUGUCUUACACGAGUUCAUUUGACAAGAAACAUCUGAUUAGCUAAAAAUUCAUAAGUAAAAUGUUUAGUUUUCCAACACUAUUUUUUCAAUGAAUGGAAGACAACUUGGCUUUCGAAUAACAAUUCCAAACUACUACACAGACACUGGGCUCUUGAUAUGACAAGAUCGAUUGUGCACAAUGAAGACAAAACCCCUCCACAGCAGGAACACGCUGUGAUAGUCACAGAAAAUUAAUGCCUGUUGUGUUGGAUAGAAACUACUGCUACCUACUACCAGAUACACAGGUAGGUGACAUCGAAAUUAACUGGCUUAGGUAAUCUUUGGCAUAGUACUUCUUUUGCGAAUCACUGAAUAUGACUUGUAGCAAAGUGAUAUGACUUUGGCUUGUGGUCACAAUUUUACAUUCAUUUCAAUGAGAUCGAUGACAAAAGACAUAUAUAGAGCUUCUGUUAUUGCACUCACAGAAAAAUAAUUAUAUUUCAUUCAUAUGUCCUGAUUUCCAUCAGUAGAUCUCAAAGCACUUUAAAAUGGUCUCAUAUGUAUUUGGGAUAUGAGGCAUGGAUGCAGAGAUGUAUUCAAAGUCUUCCAGCAGACCAGUAGCCGAAGCAGGAAUAGAAACCAGCAGCUCCAAUCUUAAGGUUUUUCUAUACUUUUCAUUUGUAAGAAUGCCCUAAUACAUACUUAAUAACAGUAUUUAACAGGAAGUUCAUACAGAGGAAAUACUGUGAUUAGUGGUGUAGUUCAUAUCUACAGGAGGCACUAGAUAAUGAAUAUUAAACUAUAGAAAUGACAUGUCACGUGGCUUGCUACUUCUUAUUUAGUCCUAAAUAGCACUUUAAAAAAUAUUAUCUAUUCCUCCAUUUCACAGGUAAAGGAGUUAAAACAUUCACAUUCACAACCCCAUAGUAACUAAUUUAUCUAUCUUCAGAUUCCAUCCCUUUCUUAAUACUAGUCUGGUCUGAAUAGAUGCUGGUUAUUUGGGUUGGGUUAGGAAAUUCUUACAAUCCUUAUGUGCAGUACAGAAGUUAAAUAAUCUGUUUCCCUUCCUAUUGUGUCCAAGCCCUUAAAGCUGUGUGACAGAAUAUUGAUUGACAAUCCACUUGCUGAUAACAUGUCAACAGUAAUGCUACACCCUGCUGUGGGACUCCCUUCACAGCCUCGGCUUCUUUUUUUGUUAGUUUUUUUUUUGUGUGUGGUGUUGUUGGUUGGUGGUUUUUGUCAUUUUUCGGUUUGUUUUGUUUGAAAGAGAUGGAACAAUUUCUGGAAGUGGUACACGGAAAGGCUUCAUGCGCUUUGGUGUAGGAAAGGCCAGAAAGCUCGGAUUGUGGGCAAUAAAGCAAGAAAGGAGAAUGAGCCUCUCAUUAGAGGCUGUGGCACAAUUAAAAUCCUCGCUGCCAAAAAGAACAUAGUUACAUAUUCCCAGCAGUAGUGACAUCUCCCCAAUGUAUUGGAAGUCUCUGCCCUCUGCUGGCAUUCCUGAAGAUCAGCCUCAGCUCAGCAGAGAGAGUCUGUGAUCAUAUCCCCAGAGAGCCAUCGCAGACAGCGUUGAGACUGGCCGUAUUUAUAAAGCAUAUCCUUUAGAACACGGUGUUUCAGGAGGAGCGAGAAUGACAGUGUCUGACAGGGAUCUAAAUCUCAAGUGACAUUUGCUAUUGACUUCUGCAAUGCUUUUCAGUCGUCUGCCUACUUCUCACCUUGUUCAACACUGCAAGGGUUACUCUGAAGCAUCUUCGGAUGCUAUUACGGUCCCCAUCUGUUUUCUUCCAGGGAGCCAAUACAAGGAAGAACAAACAAGAUAAUAAAUGUUACUUUUUGUUGUG